UUCUUUCAGGUCUGUGGUUGCGGAUUUUCCUAGUCCAAGGCAGAUGCGGUCAAAAGGAUCCACGUAAGCUACCAACAAAUUGUUUGGGGCGAUCAUGGCGCAUCCUAGGGGUAAGUCGCACCGUCUGUAUUACAUAUAAAUGCAGCAUAGGGCUGCGCAGGCGAGAGAACGAUGUCGUUGGCUUAGUUCCAGUGCGCGAGUGUGGGGGCAAAGACCAGGUCAGCUGAAAGAA
rnacentral:ncRNA from 1 species